GCUCCUGUGGCACAGUCGGUUAGCGCGUCGUACUUAUAAGCAGUAUGGGCGUGGCUUUGGCUCGCCAUAUAUGCCGUGAAAUGCGAAGGUCGAGAGUUCGAGCCUCUCCAGGAGCA